rnacentral:rRNA from 1 species
GACGAACGCUGGCGGCGUGCUUAACACAUGCAAGUCGAACGGAAAGGCCCUGCUUUGGUUGUGUGCUCGAGUGGCGAACGGGUGAGUAACACGUAAGUAACCUGCCCUUGACUUGGGGAUAACUUCAGGAAACGGUGGCUAAUACCGGAUAGGAGCUCCUGCUGCAUGGCGUGGGUUGGAAAGUUGCGGCGGCUGGGCAAGGACUUGCGGCUGAUCAGCUUGUGGGAGGGGUAGUGGUUAACGCAGGCCUUGACGGGUAGCCGGCCUGAGAGGGUGACCGGCCACAGUGGGACUGAGAUACGGCCCAGACUCCUACGGGAGGCAGCAGUGGGGAAUAUUGCACGAUGGGCGGAAGCCUGAUGCAGCAACGCCGCGUGCGGGAGGACGGCCGUCGGGUUGGAAACCGCGUGCGCCUGGGACGAAGCGUGAGUGACGGUAAUGGGUAAAGAAGCACCGGCUAACUACGUG